CGUCGAUAACACUCCAUCCAACGGAUAAUUUGGCGCUCUAGAAUUUGGCAAUUUUGAAAAUUGGAAAUUGAAGAGGUUCGCUCCUAAAUUCCCAAUAUAAACCCUAAACCAGCCGUCUCCCUUCGUCACUGAACUGAAUUGAGAAGGAAAAAUGUCGGGGAGAGGAAAAGGAGGCAAAGGUCUGGGAAAGGGAGGAGCCAAGAGGCACAGGAAGGUCCUGAGGGAUAACAUUCAGGGGAUCACGAAGCCGGCAAUCCGUCGUCUAGCUCGUAGAGGAGGCGUAAAGCGUAUCAGUGGCCUGAUUUAUGAGGAGACCAGAGGCGUACUCAAGAUCUUCCUUGAAAAUGUGAUUCGGGAUGCUGUCACUUACACUGAACAUGCCCGAAGAAAGACCGUAACUGCCAUGGAUGUUGUGUACGCUCUCAAGAGGCAGGGUCGGACGCUCUAUGGCUUUGGUGGCUGAUCC
rnacentral:misc_RNA from 1 species